ACGGUGAGUACGCUCCUCGCCGCCUUCGCCCGGGCCCUUCCCGAGCCCGCUCCCGGUCUACCGCCCUGCAGCUCGGCUCUCCCGGGCGCGGCGCGGUCUAGGGGGCUCCGGGUGCGAGGCGGGGGCGGGCGCUGACCCGGGGCGCCCUGGCCGCGUGAGCCGCGGGAUGGGGGCCCGGGCCCCGGAGUAGGCGCGGUGCUGUGUUCCUCCCCGCGCGGUUUCCAGCCAGGAAGCUUCGGGAAGCCUGGUCAUCUACUCACUGGAAACACAUGUGCGAGGGGUCCUAGGGUGUUGGGAAGGCGGUGACUUAGCCUGUGAUGGACUUCCAGUGUGAGCAGUGGCCAGAGUGAAGAGGCCAGCCGGCCCCAGCCCAGAUCAAGAUGCAGAGGCCAGGAUGUGGGCGCAGCCCUGUGCCAGGAGGCUGGCUGAAAUAGAGGUACAGGCCUUGCUCCCUCUGGGACCACCGGCACCCAGGGUGUUUGCAACCUCAGAGCCCAGCUUUCCACACGGCCAUCCAGGGCCACAGUUGCAGCUUUUGCUCUGCUUUCAUUCCAGGGAUGGGCAGGCUGGCAUCGGGAUGCCCACCGCCUCUGCCUGGGUAGUGCUGUGUGUUCCAGCCACCAGUGGCAGCUGCCGGGACCACCCCUCCAUUUUAGUAUCCCGAUUCUUAAGUUCUGCCAUUGUGGUAUUCUGGUGGAAACAAAGAACCAUUUGGCUAUUUUUGAAUUGCCUAGAAUCUAAGACCCUGAGGUAUCUUUUUUUUUACUAUAUUUGAGUCAUCUUGUGUUGUUUUUCCCCCAAGGGGGAAAAAUCUAUAUGGAAAUGUUUAUUUUAAAAUACAGGAUGAAGUGAAUUAAAAGAUUUAAUGCACAUUUCUUCAAGAAUAAUAUUCUGUGUUGGCAAAAUUUGAGAAUAAAUGGGUCUGGAGCGGA